GGGCUCAUGGUCUAGCGGCUAUCUCUGCAUAGGAGACUGCAGAUGACAGCGCCCUUACAAGGCGUUGAUCCCCGGUUCGAAUCCGGGUGGGCCCA
rnacentral:tRNA from 1 species